rnacentral:rRNA from 1 species
AUUGAACGCUGGCGGCAGGCCUAACACAUGCAAGUCGAACGUGUGGCGGACGGGUGUGUAAUGUCUGGGAAACUGCCUGAUGGAGGGGGAUAACUACUGGAAACGGUAGCUAAUACCGCAUACCAUCAGUUGUGACCAGAUGGGAUUAGCUAUGUGGUGGGGUAACGGCUUACCAAGGCGACGAUCCCUAACUGGUUGGAGAGGAUGACCAGCAACACUGGAAUUGGGACAAGGUCCAGACUCCUGCGGAAGUCAGCGGUGGGGAAUAGUGGACAAUGGGAGCAAGCCGAAUGCAGCAAUGCGGCGGGGAUGAAGAAGGCCUUCGGGUUGUAAAGUACUUUCAGCGGGAAGGCGUUACCCGCAGAAGAAGCGCCGGCUAACUCCGUGCCAGCAGCCGCGGUAAUUC